CACUCCUGCGGGAGGCAGCAGUGGGGAAUAUUGGACAAUGGGCGCAAGCCUGAUCCAGCCAUGCCGCGUGAGUGAUGAAGGCCCUAGGGUUGUAAAGCUCUUUCACCGGUGAAGAUAAUGACGGUAACCGGAGAAGAAGCCCCGGCUAACUUCGUGCCAGCAGCCGCGGUAAUACGACGGGGGCUAGCGUUGUUCGGAUUUACUGGGCGUAACGCGCACGUAGGCGGACUAUUAAGUCAGGGGUGAAAUCCCGGGGCUCAACCCCGGAACUGCCUUUGAUACUGGUAGUCUUGAGUUCGAGAGAGGUGAGUGGAAUUCCGAGUGUAGAGGUGAAAUUCGUAGAUAUUCGGAGGAACACCAGUGGCGAAGGCGGCUCACUGGCUCGAUACUGACGCUGAGGUGCGAAAGCGUGGGGAGCAAACAGGAUUAGAUACCCGUGUAGUCCCAUG
rnacentral:rRNA from 1 species